GCUGAAGUGGCGGAAUUGGCAUACGCGCAUGCUUGAGGUGCAUGUUCCCAAAUUAGGGAUUGAGGGUUCGAGUCCCUCCUUCAGCACCA
rnacentral:tRNA from 1 species